CAUUUUGUCUCUGUGGACCGAGGAGAAAGGAAACUCGACGACAAGAGGAUUGUAACAUGAGAGAAACAAGAAGGUUAGCCUUUUUCAAAUAUACAACAUGGGUUCUGACAAUGCAGACUCCUACAAGAGGCAACAAUGGAGAAUUUUUUGCAAUGGGCGAAAGCCUGACGGAGCAAUGCCGCGUGAAGGUAGAAGGCCUAUGGGUCAUGAACUUCUUUUCCCGGAGAAGAAGCAAUGACGAUAUUCGGGGAAUAAACAUCGGUUAAGUCUGUGCCAGUAACCGUAGUAAGACAGAGGAUACAAGCGUUAUUCGAAAUGAUUGGGCGUAAAGCGUCUGAGAGACGAAAGUUAGGGGAGCGAAUGAGAUUAAAUACCCCAGUAGCUUUCAAAUAUUAUGCUGUUAUCAGUAAUGGAAAAUGUUUGUUCUUUCUUUCCUUC
rnacentral:ncRNA from 1 species